UCAGAUUUAGGACCACAUAUGAAAGUGGUCCGGCUCAGAUUAGUGCUGUUCAGACUGUAACAGAUCAGAUCCAGGUCACAUAUGGACACAACAAAUGGAUUUGUGCCACAUUUGAGUACAGUCUGAACGGAACCUUAGGAGAUCAAGGACGGUGUGGAG